rnacentral:rRNA from 1 species
CAUGAAGCUGGAAUCGCUAGUAAUCGCAGAUCAGAAUGCUGCGGUGAAUACGUUCCCGGGUCUUGUACACACCGCCCGUCACACCAUGGGAGUCGGAAAUGCCCGAAGCCGGUGACCCAACCAAAAGGAGGGAGCCGUCGAAGGCAGGUCUGAUAACUGGGGUGAAGUCGUAACAAGGUAUC